rnacentral:ncRNA from 1 species
UUUAAUUGCGAUCUGGUUGGAGAUCGAAUAUUUAGAGAGAUUAAUUUUAGCUUUGAAUUUAUUAUGUUUUUAGAAUAUAUGUUAAUUUUUGUGUUAAUUUAUCUUGAAGAUAAAAGGGUGCAGUAUUUAAUAUUAAUAAUGAAGGAAAUUUUGAAUUAGUAAAAAGUAUUAUUAUAGAAUAAUUUUGUGCCAGCAUUUGCGGUUAUACAAAAUAUAUAAAUAAAUUUUAUUAGUAAGUAGUUAGAUUGGAUAAUAUUAAUAUAUUUUUUACAAAUUUAGGUUAAAUUAAUUUGUGCAUUGUUGUUAAGAUUUUUUAAUUGAAGCUAUGAAACUUAAAGAUUAAACUAGGAUUAGAUACCCUAUUAUUUUAUAGUAUAAAUUUACUACUAGGACAUUAAUAGAUAUGAUCUUUAAAUCUAAAAAAUUUGGCGGUAUUUUAGUCUAUUUAGAGGAACCUGUUAUGUAAACGAUAGUCCACGAUUAAUUUUACUUGCUUUAGUUCAAUUUGUAUACCGUCGUUAUCAGAAUAUUUUAUCAGAAUAUAAUUUUCUAGACUUAUGAGUUAAUAAUAUUUCAGAUCAAGGUGCAGUUUAUGGGUAAGAAUAAAUGGGUUACAAUAAAUUUAUUUAAAUGGAUAUUUUUAUGUAAAUAAAAUUGAAGGUGGAUUUAAUAGUAAUUUGAUUUAGAUAGAUAAGAUGAUUUUAGCUCUAAAAUAUGCACACAUCGCCCGUCGCUCUUUUUAAAUAAGGAUAAGUCGUAACAAAGUAGAUGUACUGGAAAGUGUAUCUAGAAUG